rnacentral:rRNA from 1 species
AUGAACGCUGGCGGCGUGCCUAAUACAUGCAAGUCGAGCGAACAGACGAGGAGCUUGCUCCUCUGACGUUAGCGGCGGACGGGUGAGUAACACGUGGAUAACCUACCUAUAAGACUGGGAUAACUUCGGGAACCGGAGCUAAUACCGGAUAAUAUAUUGAACCGCAUGGUUCAAUAGUGAAAGACGGUUUUGCUGUCACUUAUAGAUGGAUCCGCGCCGCAUUAGCUAGUUGGUAAGGUAACGGCUUACCAAGGCAACGAUGCGUAGCCGACCUGAGAGGGUGAUCGGCCACACUGGAACUGAGACACGGUCCAGACUCCUACGGGAGGCAGCAGUAGGGAAUCUUCCGCAAUGGGCGAAAGCCUGACGGAGCAACGCCGCGUGAGUGAUGAAGGUCUUCGGAUCGUAAAACUCUGUUAUUAGGGAAGAACAAAUGUGUAAGUAACUAUGCACGUCUUGACGGUACCUAAUCAGAAAGCCACGGCUAACUACGUG